rnacentral:snRNA from 1 species
CUCGCUUCUCGGCCUUUUGGCUAAGAUCAAGGGUAGUAUCUGUUCUUAUCAAUUUAAUAAAAAGCAAACCCUAUAAAUAAAAUAUUUAAAUACUGAUUAAGGGUAGUAUCGUUCUUAUCAGUUUAACAAAAAGCAAACCCUAU